UAAAGCCAGUUUCCAUUGUGCAGGCAUAGCUCUAGGGAUCAUUUGUUUUUCAUGGUAGAUCCCUCAGACAGUGAAUUCCUCUGGUGUUUGGGAUUAUAUUAAUGACCAAGACUGUUAGUCACCUCAAGGGAACUGAAAUAGGAUGCCACUCUGGUUGCCAUUAUUAAUUCCAACUGCAGGUGUGAAAAUUAAUUUCAUGGGUAUUUUUAUCAUUUCCUUUUAGUUAAGGAUUAGAGUUUCUGAAUGACCCUGACUCCGGAUGGAGACAAAUCUGAACCAGGUCUGCCCAGCACUCCCAUAACAGUGAACCAAUUCUGAUGGUGUAGGAGGGGAAAAAAAUAGGGUGUAAGGCUUUCCAAACCUUGCUUGAAGACAAUUAAUGGCACUGAAAGAUUUCAGAUGUCGUAAUGACAUACACUUCUUUGCACCAAGACUCUGUAAAGCAAUCCAGUAAAUUGCAGGUUGUUUUCAUUUCUGUGAAAGAAUAACACAUUUGCCAAUCCUUGGAGGAAAAAAAAUAAAAAGAAGAAGUUAAAUAUAUCAAACCAAAUCAAAUGUAGCUGAUUAGAAAGCUACAGUUUCCAUUUGCUGGCACGGGUACUGUUUUCACAUAGAUUUUCUGACAGAUGCUGCUAUAUCUCCAUAGUCAUGACAGCUCCAGCAGCCAAACUCUAGCCUGGCAUCCUUAACCAUAGGUGGAGCUGGGAUAUUGAAUUUGGGGAAUGGGAGGGGGAUGGCUGGGAGGGGAGCUGGCUCACCUUGGCUGGCGAGAGCAGGAGCUGGAGGCAGCUGGAUCUGCUAAGGAGAGAGAGACUGGGAAGGAGGAAACCCCCCCAGACUUGCCCCUCUGUCCAUGAUUCAGCCUCAACUCCUGCCAGUUCAGCUGGCAAAGGUGUUGACUUCAAAGCUGUCCUGUAUUCACCGACACCUCCUCCUGCCAGAGCCCGCUUUGAAAUGCAGAGAGUCUGGUGGAUUCAGUAACUCUAAUACAAAACUGCAAAGUGGAGAGAGAAGAAACAAGUUUCAUUAACAGGAAGAAUUCUACAUAAAAUAUACGGGAGCUGAUGGAGGAAAGAAAGAGACAGCCAAGAUGUUCAGCUGCAAGUGGAGUCCAAUUUGAUGCUCAGCAUGAGUUUAAAGGGAAGAUUUUCUCAGCCUUAAAAUAAAAGAGCAGUAUUGGAUGCGUACGGGGCA
rnacentral:lncRNA from 1 species